rnacentral:rRNA from 1 species
AAUAGAUACCCGGUAGUCCACGCCGUAAACGAUGAGUGCUAAGUGUUAGGGGGUUUCCGCCCCUUAGUGCUGCAGCUAACGCAUUAAGCACUCCGCCUGGGGAGUACGGCCGCAAGGCUGAAACUCAAAGGAAUUGACGGGGGCCCGCACAAGCGGUGGAGCAUGUGGUUUAAUUCGAAGCAACGCGAAGAACCUUACCAGGUCUUGACAUCCUCUGACAAUCCUAGAGAUAGGACGUUCCCCUUCGGGGGACAGAGUGACAGGUGGUGCAUGGUUGUCGUCAGCUCGUGUCGUGAGAUGUUGGGUUAAGUCCCGCAACGAGCGCAACCCUUGAUCUUAGUUGCCAGCAUUCAGUUGGGCACUCUAAGGUGACUGCCGGUGACAAACCGGAGGAAGGUGGGGAUGACGUCAAAUCACCAUGCCCCUUAUGACCUGGGCUACACACGUGCUACAAUGGAUGGUACAAAGGGCUGCAAGACCGCGAGGUUUAGCCAAUCCCAUAAAACCAUUCUCAGUUCGGAUUGCAGG